rnacentral:rRNA from 1 species
AACGAACGCUGGCGGCAGGCUUAACACAUGCAAGUCGAACGGGCGUAGCAAUACGUCAGUGGCGGACGGGUGAGUAACACGUGGGAAUAUGCCUUUCGGUUCGGAACAACUCGGGGAAACUCGUGCUAAUUCCGGAUACGCCCUUACGGGGAAAGAUUUAUCGCCGAAGGAUUAGCCCGCGUUGGAUUAGCUAGUUGGUGAGGUAAUGGCCCACCAAGGCGACGAUCCAUAGCUGGUUUGAGAGAACGACCAGCCACACUGGGACUGAGACACGGCCCAGACUCCUACGGGAGGCAGCAGUGGGGAAUCUCGGACAAUGGAGGAAACUCUGAUCCAGCCAUGCCGCGUGAGUGAUGAAGG